GUGCUCCCUCACUUACGAUAUGUCCCCUCUCCCUUCUAUUGGUUUUGUUUGCAGAAGCUUACUGACCAACUGGGAAUUAGCUAAGAAGCCCCGGUUUGCCUCAAACGUCCCAUCCCCCUCUACAUGCUAGGAAUCCAUGUAUGAACCAGCACAGCCAGGUUGACUUUAAUGCCCACCCAUGUGUGAGUCUUCUGUCUAUGGAUGGAGCAUAGCAUGGAAAAUGAUAGAGAAAAAUUUGCAUUUACUGUACCAACUCUUAAUAAUUCACAGCCAGUUGGGAGAUAUCAGUGGAGAGUUUUGCCACAAGGAAUGCUAAAUAGUCCUACUUUGUGUCAGCACUUUGUACAGCAACCUUUGGAAAUAAUUGAGAAUACCCUUCUGGAAUUCUGAUGCAAAGGGAAGAUACUAUAUUGGAAUGGAUAUUUCUGCCACAUAAACAGAAUAAAAAGUUAAAGACAUAUAUACAAAAGAUUUCUGAUUUGAUUUUAAAGGGAAA
rnacentral:lncRNA from 1 species